rnacentral:rRNA from 1 species
CAUAACGUGUCGCGAUGGAUGACUUGGCUUCCUAUUUCGUUGAA